CUAAUGAGACUUAAUGGACAAACGUUAUCAAAGAGUAACACUUCCAUAGAGAUAAAAGAAGACGAAGAACUAACUCUGUGUUGUAUUACGACACUAUCACACUGUCUAGCUGUCAUUACUGUGAACCACACUCAAUCUUUUUCAAACCAGAGUUGCAUUAGUCAUCGACCAAUCAAGGGGGAUAAAUCCACGUAUAUGUUUGGAUACAUCGUUUGUGGAGAUGAUAAGUAUUCACAGGCAUUUCCUGUUGACGUUAACAUACUCCAAGUGAAAGACAUUACAGGUCAAGAGAGACCGGGAAUUAUACUUGGUGCUGUGUUCGGCGCUAUUGUCUUUAUUGUGCUGAUAUUGUCUUUGAUCUGCUGCUGGCGCAAAAG
rnacentral:sRNA from 1 species